CUUUCCUAAGGUAAAGCUAACUUUCUUCUCUCUCAGAUGGGUUUCAGCCCAGCAGAAGCAUUAUCUUUGCCAGUUGGAGUGCUGGAGACUUUGGAUCGGUUGGUGCCACUGAAUGGCUGGAGGUAAUUCUUUAUCAUCCAUUCCCAUAUCGGACACGAGCUUGUGGGCUUAGGCUGUUCUCCAGAAGUGAUGUUUUUAUAGGUUUGAUUUUACCACUUUUGCCUUUGCGUUUAGUCUCAAUAGAGUCCAGAAUUGAAAAUGAAUCCCUAAUGCUACUGUAUGUGAUAAAUAAACAGAUUUAUACUUAUUAGUGUUUUCCCUUCUCUUCUAGGGAUACCUUUCGUCCCUGCAUUUAAAGGCUUUCACUUACAUUAAUCUGGAUAAAGCGGUUCUUGGUACCAGCAACUUCAAGGUUUCUGCCAGCCCACUGUUGUAUACGCUUAUUGAGAAAACAAUGCAAAAUGUGAAGCAUCCGGUUACUGGGCAAUUUCUAUAUCAGGACAGCAACUGGGCCAGCAAAGUUGAGAAACUCACUUUAGACAAUGCUGCUUUCCCUUUCCUUGCAUAUUCUGGAAUCCCAGCAGUUUCUUUCUGUUUUUGCGAGGACACAGAUUAUCCUUAUUUGGGUACCACCAUGGACACCUAUAAGGAACUGAUUGAGAGGAUUCCUGAGUUGAACAAAGUGGCACGAGCAGCUGCAGAGGUCGCUGGUCAGUUCGUGAUUAAACUAACCCAUGAUGUUGAAUUGAACCUGGACUAUGAGAGGUACAACAGCCAACUGCUUUCAUUUGUGAGGGAUCUGAACCAAUACAGAGCAGACAUAAAGGAAAUGGGCCUGAGUUUACAGUGGCUGUAUUCUGCUCGUGGAGACUUCUU
rnacentral:sRNA from 1 species